GUAGGGAAUAUUGAGCAAUGGUCGGAAGACUGACCCAGCCAUGUCGCGUGCAGGAAGACGGCCCUCUGGGUUGUAAACUGCUUUUAUCUGGGAAGAAAAAGGCCAUGCGUGGCAAAUUGCCGGUACCAGAUGAAUAAGCACCGGCUAACUCCGUGCCAGCAGCCGCGGUAAUACGGAGGGUGCGAGCGUUGUCCGGAUUUAUUGGGUUUAAAGGGUGCGUAGGCGGCUGAUUAAGUCAGCGGUGAAAGACUUCGGCUUAACCGGAGCAGUGCCGUUGAUACUGGUUGGCUUGAGUGUCGGAGGGGUACAUGGAAUUGAUGGUGUAGCGGUGAAAUGCAUAGAUACCAUCAGGAACACCGAUAGCGAAGGCAUUGUACUGGCCGACAACUGACGCUGAUGCACGAAAGUGUGGGGAUCGAACAGGAUUAGAUACCCUUGUAGUCC
rnacentral:rRNA from 1 species